UUGUGAUUACUUCUAAAAUGCUAUGUCAAAUAUUUAAUUUUGUUAGGUCGCCAGUGAAGACAACAUAGGCCUACAUGUCUUUAGCACCACAGUUUUACUCAGUUUAGACUAAACUUUUAGUUUUAAGAUAGUUUACUUAAAAAAUAACUUUGACAGAAGAAAGAAAGGAGUGGCCAAGGCUAUGACGGUAGUGACGUAAAUAAACAGCGCCAUUUUGCCAAUAUCAGACGCAUUCAACAUGGGAACGUGGUUGUCGAAAAAAUCCAAGAAACCUACCCAGUGUGAGGAUAAUCGAGAGCCAAAAGAAUAUUGGGUUGUGUCUGAUGGCCUACACCAUGCACACGCACCAACAUCUAUGACACUGUCCAGUGUGAGGCCAUUACAGAGAUCCCGGAGUUUGAGCUCGUCUAUGAUGAUGCUCUGCAACCGCCAACCCUCACCCUCUUCGACCACUUGGGACAACCAACCUCUCCACAGGGACCAAUCAGGCCCAUCUUCUACCUCCAGGGACCAAUCAGGGCCAUCUUCUACCUCCAGGGACCAAUCAGGGCCAUCUUCUACCUCACAACGAAGGAACCCGUGCCUUACCUCAAACACACCAGUGAUGGUCCAAGCUAGGGGUCGACUGACUAUCGGUGUGGCCGAUUAUCGGCACCGAUAUUCAGUAUAUUUAUAGUUAUCGGUAUCGGUCAUUUUCAAAACCGAUUUGACGAUGUUAUACGUUUUUGUAUAUUUUUUUUCAAAAUUUUUAUAGAAUGCUGCUGGAUGCUCCCAUGGGUCCGUUCUUCGUACGUCCCAUAUUACAUCCGAAAUCAAAUGACACAUCCAAGAUGACAUCAUCUUGCUAAUAAUGAUCAGGCUAAUUAGGUUAUUCAAACACCCCGUUGUUAAUGAUUAGUUUAGCUGGAUUGGAUUGAGAAACCUUGAUCAGCAAUGCUGCUAGCCUAUUGGCUGGUCACCAUGGGCAAAAAGAGCUCCCCGGUUUUUCUUGUGUUUUUUUGGCACAGCACUUUGGUUUAGGUGUUUUUGACUUUGAGUUUUGUUUACGAGCUCCGGUGCGUUAGGCGCCUAGUUGCUCCGAAGGUAUGUUUUGUAGUUGAUUAUGUUUCAUGUUAUUGUAUUUAUUAUCUUACAAUUAUCUUCAUGGCAGCCCAUGGCGACUGUAUUGAGAGAUUGAAGGAAUCGAGUGACAUCAAGUCCUCGAGAAGUUAGUCUCACAAUCAGGGCCGUAACUACCAUUGAGGACACUGAGGUCGUGUCCUCUGUAUUUUUUU